UUAGGGCGCGUCACGUGACGGGCUCGUCGCUCCGCCGUCACGUGACGGGCCUCGGCG
rnacentral:ncRNA from 2 species